CCGGGGUGGAGUAACGCGUGGGUAACCGUGCCUCAUACAGGGGAGUAACAGUUAGAAAUGGCUGCUAAUACCGCAUAAGCACACAGUGUUGCAUGACACAGUGUGAAAAACUCCGGUGGUAUGAGAUGGACCCGCGUCUGAUUAGCUAGUUGGUGGGGUAACGGCCUACCAAGGCGACGAUCAGUAGCCGACCUGAGAGGGUGACCGGCCACAUUGGGACUGAGACACGGCCCAA
rnacentral:rRNA from 1 species